rnacentral:lncRNA from 10 species
UCAGAGAAACAAGAAUUAUGAAGUCCUUUGUAGAAACAGAUUAGGCAAUGACCUAUAUGUUGAAAGGAUGAUGCAGACUUUCAAUGGAGCACCAAAGAAUAAAGAUGUUCAAUGUGAUAAAAUCAUAAUGGAAGAUAAAGGCAUAAUGUCCACUGCCUGGGAUUUGUAUGAUUCUUACAAUGCUAUGGAACUUGUAUCUUUAUCAGUAAAACAAUCUGUGGUUGAGUCAAGUAGUAAAGCAAAUGUACUUCCUAAAGAUCAGGACCAAAGAUUGCCAGGGAGCACUACAGAAAAAACUGUGGUCUGGGAGAGAGACGUGAUGACAGAAGAAGGUCAGCGGGAAUGCAAUCAAUGUUGCUGUCUUUGAAGAUGAAGGAAAGGUUGUGGUGGCCCCCAGAAACUGAAAAAAUCAAGGAAACAAAUUCUCCUUUAAAACCUUCAGAAAGGAACAAAGCCCUAUCAACUUCUUGGUUUUAGCUCAGUGACAUCUGUUAGGCCUCUAAUCUACUGAACUGUAAGAUAAAUUUGCAUUGUUUUAAGCCACUGUGAUUUGUUACAGCAGCAAGAGAAAACUUAAUACAAUAGUAUAGUAUUUCUGUAUAGCAAUAAUCAAAUCAGACCUUUUUCUGAAGGCUGAUCAUCUUAUUUCAACUUGAAUUUUAAAAGAAUAAAGACAAAAAUUAC